CAGUACGAGGUGUCUGUGUUGUACAGUAAACAGUACAAGGUGUCUGUGUUGUACAGUAAACAGUACAAGGUGUCUGUGUUGUAGAGUAAACAGUACAAGGUGUCUGUGUUGUACAGUAAACAGUACAAGAUGUCUGUGUUGUACAGUAAACAGUAUAAGAUAUCUGUGUUGUACAG